AUAGCGUAUAUUAAAGUUGUUGCAGUUAAAAAGCUCGUAGUUGAAUUUCGGAACCGAUGGAUCGGUCACGCCAUUCGGUGUGUACUGGUUUAAUUGGUUCUCACCUUCUAAGGAACCGUGAUGUCAUUAAUUUGGUGUCGCGGGGAAUUAGGACUGUUACCUUGAAAAAAUUAGAGUGUUUAAAGCAAGCUCACGCUUGAAUACAUUAGCAUGGAAUAAUGAAAUAGGACAUUGUAUCCUAUUUUGUUGGUUUCUAGGAUCGACGUAAUGAUUAAUAGGGAUAGUUGGGGGCAUUAGUAUUCAAUUGUCAGAGGUGAAAUUCUUGGAUUUAUUGAAGACUAACUACUG
rnacentral:rRNA from 1 species